AGUGAACGCUGGCGGUAGGCCUAACACAUGCAAGUCGAACGGCAGCACAGUAAGAGCUUGCUCUUACGGGUGGCGAGUGGCGGACGGGUGAGGAAUACAUCGGAAUCUACUUUUUCGUGGGGGAUAACGUAGGGAAACUUACGCUAAUACCGCAUACGACCUACGGGUGAAAGCAGGGGAUCUUCGGACCUUGCGCGAUUGAAUGAGCCGAUGUCGGAUUAGCUAGUUGGCGGGGUAAAGGCCCGCCAAGGCGACGAUCCGUAGCUGGUCUGAGAGGAUGAUCAGCCACACUGGAACUGAGACACGGUCCAGACUCCUACGGGAGGCAGCAGUGGGGAAUAUUGGACAAUGGGCGCAAGCCUGAUCCAGCCAUACCGCGUGGGUGAAGAAGGCCUUCGGGUUGUAAAGCCCUUUUGUUGGGAAAGAAAAGCAGCAGGUUAAUACCCCGCUGUUCUGACGGGACCCAAAGAAUAAGCACCGGCUAACUUCGU
rnacentral:rRNA from 1 species